CAAUGGGCCAGAAGCCCAGAAAUGAAAACUCCACAAACUAACAAACUAAACCCUCUCCCCUCACCGGCGCAGCAAAAGCAGUAGCAAAACCCUCCUCAUCGCCGCCGCAUUUUUCAACCAAUGGCAACCCUAAAAGAAAUCCUAACACGCCGCCCAAUCUCCGCCACAAUCCGUCUCACAGUGGACGCCGGUGCAGCCAAACCCGGCCCACCAGUCGGCCCAGCUCUCGGUCAAUACAAACUCAACUCAAUGGCAUUCUGCAAAGACUUCAACGCUAGAACCCAAAAAUUCAAACCCGGUACACCAAUGGCCGUAACAAUUUCGGCAUUCAAAGACGGUACAUUUGAGUUCACCGUUAAGUCACCGUCAGUUACUUGGUAUUUAAAACAGGCUGCUGGUAUUGAACUUGGAAGUGGACGACCUGGACAUGUAACGGCGUCGACAUUAACGUUAAAGCAUGUUUAUGAGAUUGCUAAGAUUAAACAGAGUGAUCCGUUUUGUCAGUAUAUGCCUUUGGAGUCUAUUUGUAAGUCUAUUAUUGGGACGGCUAAUUCUAUGGGCAUUAAAGUUCAGAAAGAGCUAGACUGAUUGGUAAGGCUGUAUUGUUGUUUUGGGUAUUAUUGUAUUUGGAAAUGAGAGUUGGAAAGUUUGUUAAAGCAAUGAUUUUGUUGUUUGGAUUGUGGAUGUUUUCGUAGUAAUAAAGAUAGCUUUUUGAACUUUAUUUGAGUUGUUAAUUGAGAAAGCAUAAUGCUUUUGAUUAUGUUGUUAUUGCGAACCUAAUAGCAGAAUGGGUUAACCCAUUCUAUUUGGGUACUGAAUUGUUGUUUGGGUACUAUUGUAUUUGUUUUUUUUGUAAGAUUUGGAAAUGAGAGUCGUAAAUUUGGUUAAAGUAUAUGUUGUUUAAGGAAGCAUGAUAUGGAUUAUGGAUGUUUUCCUAGCAAUAAAGAUGGCUUUUUUAAAAAAGUUUAUUAGUUAUUUGAGCAAAUUUAGUGCUUUUCAUCAUACUGUUAUUGUGAAUCUAAGAACAGAGCAAUUAAGAUUGAAGUUCAGAAAGAGCUGGAUUGAUUGGAACUACUGAAUUGUUUUUUUGGGUAUUAUUGUAUUUUGUUUUUUGUAAGAUUUGGAAAUGAGAGUUGUAAAAUUUGUUAAAGCAGUGAUUUUGCUGUUUAAGGAAGCAUGAUAGGAUUAUGGAUGUUUUCCUAGCAAUAAAGAUAGCUUUUUUUGAAGUUUA